rnacentral:tRNA from 1 species
GGGAUUGUGGCUCAGUGGUAGAGUGCUUGCCUAGCAUGCAUGAGGCACUGGGUUCAAUCCUCAGCACCA